rnacentral:rRNA from 1 species
AGCUUGCUCAGAUAUGACGAUGGACAUUGCAAAGAGUGGCGAACGGGUGAGUAACACGUGGGAAACCUACCUCUUAGCAGGGGAUAACAUUUGGAAACAGAUGCUAAUACCGUAUAACAAUGACAACCGCAUGGUUGUUAUUUAAAAGAUGGUUCUGCUAUCACUAAGAGAUGGUCCCGCGGUGCAUUAGCUAGUUGGUAAGGUAAUGGCUUACCAAGGCGAUGAUGCAUAGCCAAGUUGAGAGACUGAUCGGCCACAAUGGGACUGAGACACGGCCCAUACUCCUACGGGAGGCAGCAGUAGGGAAUCUUCCACAAUGGGCGAAAGCCUGAUGGAGCAACGCCGCGUGUGUGAUGAAGGGUUUCGGCUCGUAAAACACUGUUGUAAGAGAAGAAUGACAUUGAGAGUAACUGUUCAAUGUGUGACGGUAUCUUACCAGAAAGGAACGGCUAAAUACGUGCCAGCAGCCGCGGUAAUACGUAUGUUCCAAGCGUUAUCCGGAUUUAUUGGGCGUAAAGCGAGCGCAGACGGUUAUUUAAGUCUGAAGUGAAAGCCCUCAGCUCAACUGAGGAAUUGCUUUGGAAACUGGAUGACUUGAGUGCAGUAGAGGAAAGUGGAACUCCAUGUGUAGCGGUGAAAUGCGUAGAUAUAUGGAAGAACACCAGUGGCGAAGGCGGCUUUCUGGACUGUAACUGACGUUGAGGCUCGAAAGUGUGGGUAGCAAACAGGAUUAGAUACCCUGGUAGUCCACACCGUAAACGAUGAGUGCUAGGUGUUUGAGGGUUUCCGCCCUUAAGUGCCGCAGCUAACGCAUUAAGCACUCCGCCUGGGGAGUACGACCGCAAGGUUGAAACUCAAAGGAAUUGACGGGGACCCGCACAAGCGGUGGAGCAUGUGGUUUAAUUCGAAGCAACGCGAAGAACCUUACCAGGUCUUGACAUCCCUUGACAACUCCAGAGAUGGAGCGUUCCCUUCGGGGACAAGGUGACAGGUGGUGCAUGGUUGUCGUCAGCUCGUGUCGUGAGAUGUUGGGUUAAGUCCCGCAACGAGCGCAACCCUUAUUACUAGUUGCCAGCAUUCAGUUGGGCACUCUAGUGAGACUGCCGGUGACAAACCGGAGGAAGGUGGGGAUGACGUCAAAUCAUCAUGCCCCUUAUGACCUGGGCUACACACGUGCUACAAUGGCGUAUACAACGAGUUGCCAACCCGCGAGGGUGAGCUAAUCUCUUAAAGUACGUCUCAGUUCGGAUUGUAGGCUGCAACUCGCCUACAUGAAGUCGGAAUCGCUAGUAAUCGCGGAUCAGCACGCCGCGGUGAAUACGUUCCCGGGUCUUGUACACACCGCCCGUCACACCAUGAGAGUUUGUAAC